rnacentral:misc_RNA from 1 species
GAAACGCGAUAGGUAAUGUGAAUUGCAGAAUUCAGUGAAUCAUCGAAUCUUUGAACGCACCUUGCGCUCCUUGGUAUUCCGAGGAGCAUGCCUGUUUGAGUGUCAUGAAUACCUCAAACCCCAAUGUUUUUUGAAAGAAAUUCAUUGCUUGGGUUUGGUUGUGGGCCGUUAUUGCUGUGUCAAAGCAGCUGGCCUUAAAGAGAUUAGCUGGACUAUCCGACUCUUGGUAGUUUCCACUUGAUGUGAUAAAAUUGCAUUGGUGGGCAAAAGACUGCUCAAGGACAGAGAAGUCUGCUUCCAACCCGGCGCGAGGCUUGAAACCCUCAACCCACUUCAUUUACAUCUCUGGCCUCAAAUCAGGUAGGAUUACCCGCUGAACUUAA